rnacentral:rRNA from 1 species
CUGGCUCAGGACGAACGCUGGCGGCGUGCCUAAUACAUGCAAGUCGAGCGGAUUUGUUCCUUCGGGGAUAGGUUAGCGGCGGACGGGUGAGUAACACGUAGGCAACCUGCCUGUAAGAUCGGGAUAACUACCGGAAACGGUAGCUAAGACCGGAUAGCUGGUUUCUUCGCAUGGAGAGAUCAUGAAACAUGGGGCAACCUAUGACUUACAGAUGGGCCUGCGGCGCAUUAGCUAGUUGGCGGGGUAACGGCCCACCAAGGCGACGAUGCGUAGCCGAC